CACUCCUGACCUGUGCCCUGUAGAGUGUGGGCAGGCUUUGGGGAGUCAGGAGACUGCCGGGACCAUUCUAAAUCACAGAAACUUUGGAAAAUCAUCACCUGUGUAUCCAUUAACUGCGCAGCUACCCCUUUCAUAACCGAAGAGCCAUCACUGGCUCGGGUGACAUCUGCUACCCAUCCCGAAUCCCUGGAGGAAGUGGGGAUCUAGGAGAACAUGCAGACUGCUAUACAUGGCUUGGUCACUGGAAUAUUUCCCAAGUACAGCACUUGGAAUCUUUGAACAAGCUCACUCUUGGGCACUGGAAACUCCACUGCAGACAAGAGAACACAAGACAGAAAGGAAGUCUUAGAUGGUACAAAUUUAACACAAAGUCAUGGUCACCAAAAUACAGUCAUGCUCCCAUGAAGAGCUGCUGAGGAAAUUCAUCAAUGACAACAAUCAUGUAGUAGCAACGCCAGAUUUAAUCUUCAUUCAGAUGGUGUUUGCAAUUUACUGUUUCCUCUGGGGUCUCAUCAGUGGCAGCACUAACCCAAGCCAGAAAACAUCAGCAUUGUUCCAGCUCCUGCAUAAUGACUGAUCAAACAGCAUCAAAUAAAUGGAAUGAAGAUGAGUAUUUUUUACCUAAUAAGGUUACAAUGAGGGUACGAAGGCAGAACUGAUGUUAUGAUGGCUUCGUAUUUAAUAUUUGUGUGAACUUGAGUUUGUACGACAGUGGAAAUGCCUAUACUGUCUUACUUUCUUAAAAGAAAUCCAUGAAAAGACUUGGAACAUUUAUUAAUAAGGUAUUUCUUGGAAAACACAUGAGACCAUCACUACUUUUAUUUUUCUCCUUUUUGGUUUGGAACUGAGAGUCGCAGUUAAGAGUUGAACUUUGAACAGCAGCUUGUUUGAAAAACAAGAGAG